GCAUUUUAAACAAGAGCAAUUCUCCAAUAAUGAUUUUUUUUUUUUUUUUUAAAUUCAUUAAAUAACGACACGUCAUACUUUUUAUCCGUUUAGAGAUACGUUUAAUGUUGUGGAAUGUCCAGGAGUUAGUUUGUCAGUUCUAGUGUGUUGUUGUUUCUAUAGUAACAGCUUACAUAUAGUGGACACUGUACAUAAACAAAUGUAAAGACACCGUUAGUUAACAUUUUUCAAAGGAGUCUCCAGCGUCAGCAAUUUUUUUUAACGGUCAUAUCUAAAACCACCGUCUUAAUUUAUAAUCGAUAAACACUGGGGAAAACCAGAGUAAGUUCAUAAGCUGUAUGAAGCUGUUUUCUUUGGAUAAGGAAAUAUUUCACAUUAAAAUGAUCACACGCUCAGAUGUAGAGAGAAAGGAAAACACGUUCAUCACACUUCCAUCUGAUGUCUGCGGUCCAAUUUAUUCUUCGAGUCCUUGAGUCUUCCCUCUGCAGUGAAUCUAUUGACCAAAUAUACGGCCGGACGCAUUUAGUGAAAAAUGAGGACUGCGUACAAGCAAAAGCCCCCAAACCCACUGAAAGAUAUUGUGGUGGAUCGGUGAUGCAUGGGGCCAUUUUGUGUCUGGUCAUUCAGGGACGCUUGCGAAGAUCGAUGGCAUCACCUGGCUGCCUGUGCCAUGAGGCUUAAACAUAAUUGGAUCUUUCAACAGGAUAAUGAGCAAAAUAUAUAUCCAUUUUUGUGGACACAAAAUCAAUGUUUUGCAUCUCCUCUUGUCAGAAUUAAAGAGAAAAGUCCACAUAUACAGAAGAAAGUAUAUAAAGGAUGUUAAAACACUUUGCACGAAGGUGUGGCUGAAGACAUUCUACACGACUCAAACCUUAUACAUUACAAGAAGAGGCGCAGUUUGGUUGCUGCUAGGAUGACUCCCUCAAGCAGACAUCUUUUGCGCUUUUAGUAUGCAUCAUUUACCUUGAAAGGUGCAUAUGAUGUCCAUUUAAAGCUUAAAAGUACAUCCUAGUCCAUUAAACUCUUUUGUAAAGGUAUAUUAUAUUUACAUUUCCAGAUAAAAGAUAUGUUAAAAAGGUACAAAAGGAUAAGGAUACCCCUCUAGCGACAAGAAAAGGUAGAAUUAGUACUACGUUUUUCUGCCAGUGUAACGUGCCAAUACUUUUGAAACAGCACCCACGUUUAAGUACGUUAUAUAUUUUUGCUCACGUUGACAAUAAUUCUGUAACUGAAGUGAAAAAGGUGUUUUGGAUUUUCUUCCCCUUUCUUUGUUCUCAAUUGAAUCACCUUUCAAUUCCCACCCACCAGUCAGCUCUUCCCAUCAGAGCACGUUUGACUCACACCUCCAGGGUGUGGGGUUCAAAUUUCCAUCGCUGCCCUGGGUGUAGAGUUUGCAUGUUCUCCCGUGCUGCGGGGGUUUCCUCGUGGUACUCCGGUUUCCUCAUCCACUCCAAAGAUAUG